rnacentral:rRNA from 1 species
GCAGUCGAGCGGAAGGCCCUUCGGGGUACUCGAGCGGCGAACGGGUGAGUAACACGUGAGCAACCUGCCCCAAGCUUUGGGAUAACCCUCGGAAACGGGGGCUAAUACCGAAUAUUACUUCUGGCCGCAUGGCUGGUGGUGGAAAGUUUUUCGGCUUGGGAUGGGCUCGCGGCCUAUCAGCUUGUUGGUGGGGUGAUGGCCUACCAAGGCGACGACGGGUAGCCGGCCUGAGAGGGCGACCGGCCACACUGGGACUGAGACACGGCCCAGACUCCUACGGGAGGCAGCAGUGGGGAAUAUUGCACAAUGGGCGGAAGCCUGAUGCAGCGACGCCGCGUGAGGGAUGACGGCCUUCGGGUUGUAAACCUCUUUCAGCAGGGACGAAGCGGAAGUGACGGUACCUGCAGAAGAAGCGCCGGCCAACUACGUGCCAGCAGCCGCGGUAAGACGUAGGGCGCGAGCGUUGUCCGGAUUUAUUGGGCGUAAAGAGCUCGUAGGCGGCUUGUCGCGUCGACCGUGAAAACUUGGGGCUCAACCCCAAGCCUGCGGUCGAUACGGGCAGGCUAGAGUUCGGUAGGGGAGACUGGAAUUCCUGGUGUAGCGGUGAAAUGCGCAGAUAUCAGGAGGAACACCGGUGGCGAAGGCGGGUCUCUGGGCCGAUACUGACGCUGAGGAGCGAAAGCGUGGGGAGCGAACAGGAUUAGAUACCCUGGUAGUCCACGCUGUAAACGUUGGGCGCUAGGUGUGGGGGGCCUCUCCGGUUCCCUGUGCCG